GGGCUCACUUUGGCAGCACGUGCACUAAAAUUAGAACCAUACCGAGGAGAUUAGCAUGGCCCCUGCGCAAGGAAGACACAUGCACAUUGUGACGCGGUCCAUAGAUCU